AUGCUGGGUCGGUGGGGUGCUUGGGGGUCUCUAAGGGGAGCUUAUGGGGCGCUUAGGGGGCACUUAUGGGGCACUUGUGGGGCACAGUGGGCACUUAUGGGUCUCUAUGGGGCACUUAUGGGGCACAGUCAACACUUAUGGGGCUCUUAUGGGGCAGAGUGGGCACUUAUGGGGUGCUUAUGGGGCUCUAUGGGGCACUUUUGGGGCACAGUCAGCACUUAUGGGGCGCUUAUGGGGCACUUAUGGUUCUCUAUGGGGCACUUAUGGGGCAGAGUGGGCACUUAUGGGGCUCUAUGGGGCACUUAUGGGGCACAGUCAACACAUGGGGCGCUUAUGGGGCACUUAUGGUUCUCUAUGGGGCACUUAUGGGGCACAGUCAGCACUUAUGGGGCGCUUAUGGGGCACUUAUGGGUCUCUAUGGGGUAUACUUAUGGGGCUGAAUGGGUCUCUAUGGGCAGUUAUGGGGUCUAUAUGGCACUUAUGGGGCUCUAUGGUUCUCUAUGGGGCAGUUAUGGGUCGCUAUGGGGCAGUUAUGGGUCUCUAUGGGUCUCUAUGGGGCAGUUGUGGGGUCUAUGGGGCACUUAUGGGUCACAGUGGGCACUUAUGAGGCUCUAUGGGUCUCUAUGGGGCACUUAUGGGGUCUAUGGGGCAGUUGUGGGUCUCUAUGGGGCCGUUAUGGGGUCUAUGGGUCUGUAUGGGGCAGUUAUGGGUCGCUAUGGGGCAGUUGUGGGUCUCUAUGGGUAUCUAUGGGGCAGCUAUGGGGUCUAUGGGUCCCUAUGGGGCAGUUAUGGGAUCUAUGGGGCAGUUGUGGGGUCUAUGGGGCACUUAUGGGAUCUAUGGGGCAGUUGUGGGGCUCUAUGGGUCCCUAUGGAGCAGCUAUGGGGUCUAUGGGUCCCUAUGGGGCACUUAUGGGUCUCUAUGGGUCCCUAUGGGGCAGUUAUGGGUCCCUAUGGGGCAGUUGUGGGGCUCUAUGGGUCUCUAUGGGGCACUUAUGGGUCUCUAUGGGUCACUUGUGGGGCACUUAUGGGUCACGCUGGGCACUUAUGGGGCGCUUAUGGGGCUCUAUGGGUCACUUAUGGGGCUCUAUGGGGCACUUAUGGGUCUCUAUGGGUCACUUGUGGGGCACUUAUGGGUCACGCUGGGCACUUAUGGGGCACUUAUGGGGCUCUAUGGGGCACUUAUGGGUCUCUAUGGGGCACUUGUGGGUCCCUAUGGGUUCCCCUUUAA
rnacentral:lncRNA from 1 species